rnacentral:lncRNA from 1 species
AUAUCACUAUUUAAAAAUAAUUAAUGACUAAAAAAUAAAACAAUGACUUACAAAAAAUAAUAAGUAAAUUUUUAUAAAUGUCACUUAGUAAAACCUCACUAAUAGUAAUAUUAUCAAACAUUAAUUUAUAAAACAUAGUAAUACUAUGUUUUGUAAAGUGAUAAAAUUUAUAAUUUGAGUUAAAUUAUAAAUAUUAUAACUUAAAUUUUAAUUUGUAGCAUAAGGUUCUAUAUGAAAAAUAUUUAAAUAAUUUAUAUUGCGUAUUGUUUGCAAAUAAAAGUAUUUAAUAAUAAAAAGGAUAAACUGCCCGGUUAACCACAACAACUAGGUCCCAGCUGGGAUGUAACUCGAUUAUUGGAACUAAGUUAUGUCUGGGAUUUGAACUGGGUUAAAGAUGGGUCCCAUAUAGUGCAACGAUUACAGCAAAAAUUAUGCUUGAAAAUAUGAUAAAAAUCUUUUAAAAUGACAUAUACAGUAACGCAGAUUGAUUUGGAUUGAAUAUACACUUGCAUUUGGAGUCAACAAGAACUUAAUUUGGUUUAUUUUUAGUAUUUUUGCAAAAAAAUAAUCAUUUACAUAUCAGUUUUAAUUCAAAAAAAUGUGGCAUACUUUUAAACUUCUUAAAUGCUCUAAAUUUCAUCAUUGAUAAGUUUGACAAUCAAUGUUUACUUUUUUACAGACCUAUUUAAUGUUUUAUUAAACUGAAGGCAUAUUUUUUAUUUUUUUAUGCUAUAGACAAAUUUUGAAAAUUAGUUUAUAUGGUUUGGUGUGCCUACAGUUAUGGCUUAGUCACUAAGUUGCAAAAAGUGAAAUACACUAAGUUAGUGUGUUUCAUUUUAAUUUUUCUUUUUCAAGCAAAUCUCAAUGUCACUUAACAAAAUAUGGUAAGGUUUUACUAAGUAACACUGCCAUAUCUAAACUUUACAUAUUAUUUAUAAAUACGUAAAUGUUUUACUUUUUCUAUAAGUUAUAUAAUUAACAAUAUAAUACUUAUAUUAUAAAUAUUGUAACUGAUAUUAUAAGUUAUAAUAUAAGGUUUUAUAUGAAAAAAUGUUUAAAUUAUUUAUAUUGUAAACUAUUUGUAAAUAAUAGUAAGUAAUGACAAAAAUUAUUUGGUGUUUUAACGUUUAACUUUGUCUUUAAUAAUUAACGUUUAACUUUGUCUGUAAUAAUAAAAUAAUUAUCACAUUUUGUUUAAACAUAUUUAUUUAUCAAAUACAUUUUUAACAUACUUUAAAUUAUAAAAGUGUAUAUAUUUUAAUAGCAAUAGUCAGACAUGUGUUUAAGAAACAAUUUGGCCAGUCUAAAAGACGGAAAUGUUUUGUUUUAAGGUUUAAGAUGUUUUUUAAUUAAUUUUUACAGGAUGUUAUAUAACUUUUUUAGAAUAUGUUGUGAAAUAAAAUAAAUAUACAAUCAUAAAAUGCUACUCAAGUGCAAUUUAAAAUUGAAAAUGAGUGGGUCAGAAGCCAAGGGGUACAAGUGACAAUUUUACCAAAAUUAAGUUAAGUAUAGAAUUUGAUAGAAGAAGCAAACAAAAUUGUUGGUGGCCAAGGGAUACAAGUGAAUCUCUGCCCUGUGCUGCUUUCUACUGGAAAAACAUAACAACAGCUGAGUAUAUUUAACAAAAAUACUUUAACUUUAAACAGCUGUAUUUCAAAACUAUAAAAAUGUCACUUGUACCCCUUGGUUUCUGACCCACUCAAAUGUAGUUUUGAUACUAAAUAUUGCAAAAACUGAAUGUUUGAAUAAUCAUGAAUGUUUUGUAUUUUUCACUUGCUAUAGUAAGUCAAUUUCAUUGCGUCAUUAUAUGAUAUCAUAUAGUCAUAUAUAAUAUGUUUAUUUACAAUAUAAAAAAGAUAUCAUUUUUUUUUGGUAAUACAUUUUUUAUUUAUGUUAUUUUUGUACUUUUUAACUUUAUUAAAUUUAUUAAAGAGGUUCAAUAGUAUUUAUGUUUUGAUUUUAUAGUUGCUUUGUGUUGAUUUAUGAAUAACAACAGAAAAUACAUUACUGCAACAAAUUUUAGUUUUUUACACAUAAAAGUUAUGAAAAAUCUCCUAUGAAAUGAUUUAUUCAAAUCUAAUUCCCUGCAAGAUGCCUGUUAAAAAGAAAAACUGAAGAAACUCUAAAACUAGAUGAUGGCAACUGAAGAAGCCUCUACUUCAAUCUGGCUAUUGUUAUAACACGUUUAUCGAUUUAUAUACUGUAUUGAGUUAGCUUGUGAUUUGUACGUGUGUUUUUGUUUGCCUAGUGUUAGUUAGUUAUAUGCAAGAUACGACAUGGUAUGGCACACUGCAUGUGUAAAAGUGGAUGAAAGCACUAAAGAAGCGUAACGAUAAACUUUAUGGUGGCGAUAUGAGGAGAACUAAUGUGGCAGUAUACUACUAUCGUAGAACAGUUUUGCAUCAAAUCAUUGUAUAAUUUUUUGUUGCUUUAAAUAUUAUGAAAUUCAAA